CGGAGCUCGUAUGAAUUAGUUAUGAUUUUUUGAAAAAGUCCAAAAUUAGUAUAAAUAUUGGAUUUUUCCAAAAAAUUCAGAAAAAUCCGAAAAUGCUGCAACUUUUCCUCUCGGCCGGAAAUCGGCCUUGAUUUUCAUUUCCCCAUAUCUUCCUUCUCCGGCCACCAAUCUUCACCAAAAUUCUUCCAUUGGCUUCGUAUGGUCCUUGCACACCUGUCCGUAGUGACUUUGAACGGCGGCUCGGCCUAUAGCCGCGGCGGCAAACUCGUUUCGAUUUGAGUUCGAUUUGAGUCAACGCCAGUUUUCUCCUAGCUCCGGCCACCAAAACUUCCGAUACUUGGCUCUAUGAACUCGCCUCAACCUACUGAUCAUCAUACCAGAAGGAUCGAACAUGGAGUGACCAGAUUCAGGUUCGUCGGAGCUCGACCGGUUUUCGAUCGAAAACCAAAACCUUUCGAUAGUGAUAUCUCGGGAUGUAGUGCAUCUUUUUGAUUUAUUAUUGAACCAGUGAGUUCAAAUUGAUGUUCUUAACAACUCUCUAGAAGGAAUAGAGGCCUGAAAUUGAAGUUUUUACGUCGGAAUUCAACCUCGCCGGAUUCUGGAAAUGUUCCGGCCACCGAAGCUUUCGAUCAAGAUAUCUUCGAGCUGUAGAGCUUUUUUUUUGAGUGAUUCUUGAACCAGUGAGUUCGUCUUGAUGUUCUUAACAACUCUCCAGAAGGAAUUGAGGCCUGAAAUUGAAGUUUUUACGUCGAAAUCAAGCUCGCCGUUUUCUGCAAUUUUUGCCGGUUUCUGGAAAUUUUCCGGCUAAGUCAACUGUUCUAGGUGAUUGACGGUCUUCCUUGGUGAGCGGUUUUGGUGUGUAUUGUGAAAUUGAAGACGCAGAGGGAUUAGAGCGGGUAGUCCUGCAGGUCAGGAGGAUCAUGGCGGAGAUCGUGCGGAUUAGAGUAUUUGUUUUAGUUUUACAGCUUUGUAAAUUGUGAGGGCAAGUAUUACCUCUGAAACUGUGUUGAUUGUUCUGGUUGGAAGUUUCAAAGGCAACAUAAUUGUCUUUUUGAAGCAUCUUUCUUCUGGCUUGCUCUUGGUCAUCGUUGCUUUAGGUUCGUGGAGAAUUGCCGCUUUUAGAAGUGUAGAGCCGCGCGCUUUGGUUUCAGUGGAUUUCUCCGAUAAGGUUUCAGAGCAAGAGAUGGCUUCAAGCUUGGCAGAUAGUGUUACUCAAAUAUUUCAAGAUGCGACAGCUUAUGGAUCUGCCAAGCUUGCAGAUUUUGGAUUGGCAAAGAUAACCACCAAAGUGAAUGAAAUUCAAGUUUUGCAGGGGACUGCAUUCUAGAUAGACCUUGAGUGGCUAAUUAUAUAAUGAGUAGAGAAACUAAGACUAGAGACUGUGGUGCCCGAUGUUAAUGGAAGUAGUCAAGUUGACAACUAUGACUAUGGAGAUCAACUAUUGCAGCAAGUUGUCGAAUCUAAGUAUACCAUGGAGAAUCCUUCUGCAUAACUGGUUCAUUUGAAAGUGCAAUGAAUGUUAUGUAUGUACUGAGUUACCAUUGAGUUGUUUUUUUUAGAAGUAAAUAAUUUCAUUCCU